AUUUACGGACAUGUAGGAGAAUGGAUCUGGCAUCCAUCUUUUCAUGUUGUCUCUGUAACUCAGGAGUCAUAGAGCCCAACAUAUAGCACUGAGCAAGAGUGGAGUCAUCAAUGUACUUCACGUAGUGAGCGAUCUCAUCCUCGCUUGCCCCUUCUUCGGGCGUAGGCAUCACUGUAUCAAGGACGUACACGAUUUUCUCCGCUGUGAGAACAAUUCUCAAGUUACGGAGCCAAUCCGUAUAAUUUGGACCAGUGAGGCAGUUGACAUCAAGUAUGCCAC
rnacentral:lncRNA from 1 species